UACAGGGGGGGCAAGCGUUGUUCGGAAUUACUGGGCGUAAAGGGCUCGUAGGCGGCCAACUAAGUCACACGUGAAAUCCCCAGGCUUAACCUGGGAACUGCGUGUGAUACUGGAUGGCUUGAAUUCGGGAGAGGGAUGCAGAAUUCCAGGUGUAGCGGUGAAAUUCGUAGAUAUCGAGAGGAACACCGGUGGCGAAGGCGGCCUUCUGGACAGUGACUGACGCUGAGACGCGAAGGCGUGGGGAGCAAACAGG
rnacentral:rRNA from 1 species